ensembl:snRNA U6 U6 spliceosomal RNA
GUGCUUACAUUGGCAGCACACAUACUAAAACUGGAACAAAACAGAAAAGAUUAGCAUGGCACUGGUGCAAGGAUGACAUGCAAAUUCAUAAAACGUUCCAUAUUUUU